AUUGAACGCUGGCGGCAUGCCUUACACAUGCAAGUCGAACGGUAACAGGUCUUCGGAUGCUGACGAGUGGCGAACGGGUGAGUAAUACAUCGGAACGUGCCUAGUAGUGGGGGAUAACUACUCGAAAGAGUGGCUAAUACCGCAUGAGAUCUACGGAUGAAAGCAGGGGAUCGCAAGACCUUGUGCUACUAGAGCGGCCGAUGGCAGAUUAGGUAGUUGGUGGGAUAAAAGCUUACCAAGCCGACGAUCUGUAGCUGGUCUGAGAGGACGAUCAGCCACACUGGGAAUGAGACACGGCCCAGACUCCUACGGGAGGCAGCAGUGGGGAAGUUUGGACAAUGGGCGCAAGCCUGAUCCAGCAAUGCCGCGUGCAGGAUGAAGGCCUUCGGUUUGUAAACUGCUUUUGUACGGAACGAAAAGCCCUGGGUUAAUACCCUGGGGUCAUGACGGUACCGUAAGAAUAAGCACCGGCUAACUACGUGCCAGCAGCCGCCGUAA
rnacentral:rRNA from 1 species